ACUCCCUCCGUCCCAGUCAUUUGUAUACAAAUGGCUGGGACACGGAGACCAAUAAAUUAUGUAAGAAAUGAGUAAAGUUGGUUGAAAAGUAGGUAGAGUGGUGGGACCCAUUAAUAUUUAAUAAUAGAUUUGAGAUAGUGGAGGAAAGUAGUGGGUGUAAUAGUGUUUAUAUUAUUAUAGAAUAGAGAUAGUGAAGGAAAGUAGUUGGUGU
rnacentral:lncRNA from 1 species